rnacentral:rRNA from 1 species
UUAACACAUGCAAGUCGAGGGGUAGGUUACUUCGGUAAUUGAGACCGGCGCACGGGUGCGUAACGCGUAUACAAUCUACCUUUUACAGAGGAUAGCCCAGAGAAUUUGGAUUAAUACCUCAUAGUAUUUUUGAAUCGCAUGAUUUGAUUAUUAAAGUUCCAACGGUAAAAGAUGAGUAUGCGUCCCAUUAGCUAGAUGGUAAGGUAACGGCUUACCAUGGCUACGAUGGGUAGGGGUCCUGAGAGGGAGAUCCCCCCACACUGGUACUGAGACACGGACCAGACUCCUACGGGAGGCAGCAGUGAGGAAUAUUGGACAAUGGGCGCAAGCCUGAUCCAGCCAUGCCGCGUGCAGGAAGAAGGUCCUAUGGAUUGUAAACUGCUUUUAUACAGGAAGAAACACUCCCUCGUGAGGGAACUUGACGGUACUGUAUGAAUAAGGACCGGCUAACUCCGUG